GACGAACGCUGGCGGCGUGCUUAACACAUGCAAGUCGAACGGGAUUUAGUAGACAGAAGCCUCGGCUAAAGAUUACUAAUGAGAGUGGCGAACGGGUGAGUAACGCGUGAGCAACCUGCCUAUGACAGUGGGAUAGCCUCGGGAAACCGGGAUUAAUACCGCAUAAAAUCGUAGAAACACAUGUUUUAACGGUCAAAGAUUUAUCGGUCAUAGAUGGGCUCGCGUCUGAUUAGCUAGUUGGUGGGAUAACAGCCCACCAAGGCGACGAUCAGUAGCCGGUCUGAGAGGAUGAACGGCCACAUUGGAACUGAGACACGGUCCAAACUCCUACGGGAGGCAGCAGUGGGGAAUAUUGCACAAUGGGGGAAACCCUGAUGCAGCGACGCCGCGUGAACGAAGAAGGUAUUCGUAUCGUAAAGUUCUGUCCUAUGGGAAGAUAAUGACAGUACCAUAGAAGAAAGCUCCGGCUAAAUACGUG
rnacentral:rRNA from 1 species